CCUCUCUGCUGCACCUCGGUCUGCAAGGCUGAGGUGACCCACUGCUGCGCAUCCCUCCGCCAGUGAGGGACUGUCACACCGCACUACCGCGGAGGCAAAGGGAACUGCCCUCUCACGAGCAGCGACCUCACUGCGACUUUGUCUCUCAGUCUCUCCUUGGGUGCAAAAGCCGCAAAAGCGAGCGGGAAACGCACGGUACGCGGUGGGCGCAUGCGCAAGGAGGCGCGUCCCCAGCCCGCGCUGGAGACUCAGAAAUGCAGGAACGCUAGCGCGCUGCGCUUCCGCUGAGCUGACUGCCAAAACCUAUGCGGAGGCGGUCGGCGCUUCCCGCUGGCGGAGGAAGGGCCGGAGGUCAGCCGGCCGGCGCGGGAGCCCCCAACGUCAUGUGACGUCACGCCGGCGCUCCCGCACCACGCCCCUUCUGCUGCGGAGCCUGAGAAGAGCGUAGGACGGAUCUCCUAGACGUCGGAGUUGCGCGGGCGGCCUGGCGACCACCGCUGCGAUUUUGAGAUGUCCUGAAAGAAACUCAAGCCGGUCUGCCGAGAAGUCCUAAGUCCUUGGUAUUACGUGAACGUUCACUGUGUCUGCCUGAAGCACCCUUCAGGGCAACCGUGUGUUAGCAAUAUGCAGUGUAAUCCUCUCUCGAUACUGGGCGGUGGCCUUGAGCAUGAGGACAAGCAGCCAACACUCCAGGGAUGUUUGGUAGCCAAUACUACAUUCCAGUUAAAACUACAACCUGACCUCAGAGUGGUGGCACACCCCUGUAACUCCAACACUUGGGAGGCGGAGGCAAGAGGAUCUCCACUGUAUAGUUUCUACCGUCUGUGGAACAUGGAAUCAAACCAGAAUAUGUUGGCAUAACAGGCCAGUCAAACCGGUUCUUCUGUAGAUCCAGAACCCGUCCGACCAGUCUCCAUCAAAGGCUACCCUAACAUGCUGCAGCGGCUCAGCUCUGCUAAGCUUGUACUGGCUAACUGAUGGAGCGCAUGUGAACCAAAAGCUACUGUGUUCAUUUUUGGAUCUUGAGGAUCAAGAAUGCUGACUGACACUUAGAAAGUACUUAGUAAAAUGUUUGUUCAGUAAGUAUCUACUUAGAGUCAGCAACUUACUAGAUCCCUGGGGAACCACAACUGAUAACUAUUAUGUGAAUUAAAUGGUAUUAAAUACUAUAAUUAUGAGGUAAAAGCCCAGAAAAGAAGCAUGUAUGACUAUAAUAUGGGGGAAACAUCACACAAAGACUUUUUUUUUACUCUGACCAAAGAUUGCUAUCUGCAGGAUAACAAAAAGUUGGAAGUAAAACAAAAUACAUGUCUUUGAUUUGAUAGAGUAAUAAAAUGUUAAGUAUCUGAGAACACCAUUACUCAAAAGUUGGCAAUUAUGUUAUUUUCUGCAGUAAAGUUCAGCACAUUUUGAUGUACAGAUUUUACUAUUUUAGAAUAUGAGAGCCAGAUUGUCUUUGUUUUAGCUAUUCAGUUAUGUGAAUUAUAGCACAAAGGCAAAU